UAUUUUAAAGAAAAAUAUAGAGACAUACAUUGGAGAUGCUCUUAUAUAACCCCUUUCGUCUUGCUCAUAACAAACAAGAGAAGGUUAAUUAACAGAACAGCGAGCGACAACAUAGAAAAAUUUGCAUUCUUUUCGUUUUCGAUCUGAAACUUUUAGACUUUUUUUUUUUUUGGGUAAAAAACUUUUAGACUUGUUAUGGAGAAAAUGGUGGAUCCGCAUCCGGUGGGCUUCAGAUUCCAUCCGACCGACGAGGAGAUCAUUGGCUAUUACCUCAGGGAAAAAAAUAUGGAUAGCUUCGAUCCUUGGGAGUUACCUUCCCACUCGAGUUCGAUAAGGAAGGACGAUGUUUGGUAUUUCUUCGCUCGUAAAGACAACAAAUAUGUGCACACAAAAAAAAAAGUAAAGACGACAAAUAUAACAGAGGAACCCCUUUUUUCAAAAAAAGAAGACAAAUAUAACAGAGGAGGGAGACAGAGCAGGAAAAAGAGUUCUGGUUUUUGGAAGAAGACCGGAGUUACUGUUAACAUGAUCAACCCAACAGUCCAACAGCCCAUGACAAGAAAGAAGAAGAAUUGAGCCAUCAACAACGCAAGCCCACAACUCAGCUCAAGACACCAACAGCUAGCUUGACUGUCAACAGUUCAGCCUUCGCUGAAAACAAGCAGAGUAUGGAUUCAACAAUUAAGUUGGAGAACAGAUUUGGUCUCCUUGCAGAAAACGACAUUUAAGCUCUCUGAGUAGAAAAUUCCUUAAUAUAUUCCAUUAGGUUAAGCUUGUCCUCUCUGUAUAAAUAACAAAGGAUGUAUAAGUUCUUAAGUAUAAAAAGAAAAAGAAAUUCUUAAGUAAUAAAAAUGGAGUUUAAGCUUUGAGUAUAUCUUCUGUUUCUAUUCUCUGUUUACCUUUGCUUUCAGUUACAACGGAUAUCAUGCGAAAGAGAGGGACUCGAGAGAAGAUUGGUGAGGUUAAUGGUGUUUCACUACAACCGAAACAGCGGCUUUUACCACCUGAGCCGAAGUGGUUUAUUGUACAUUGUUGGCAUAUUUAAUAUUUAACGGACUAUAUACACGUAAGUUCUCUUCUACAAAUUCACCUAAUCAGUUACCUAACUAAGACAAGGAGAUGAACUGCAUAUAGUCAGUCCUAGUCCCAUGGUUUGACAAAAUCAAAGUUUCUGGGUUAGUUAACCAUGCUUAUUCCUUUUUAUGUUUUGUUAAGGUUAAUUAUAUUUCAAAAAUCAAACGAACUUUACAGACUACGGAUCAAAUUAUGUCACAUGAUUCUUCUUCUCAUACGUACACAGCUGAUAAUUAACCAUCUAGCUUAAUAUUGUGUAUUCUCCAUAUCUUCAACUAGCUUCUUCAUACAAUUGUUUCUAAGAUAAAGCCGCUACCAUCUAUUGUACACGCAUGUAAUUAAUAGUUUGCAUAGGCAGAACAAAUCAAGGAACGGUCAAAUCAUUAAUUAAAUAUCACAAGUAAAACGAAAA